UUUGCCAGUUUUCUCAGGUAAAGGAGCAUUAUAAGACUCAGAAAAUAUGACUGUGUCUUUUUCAGGUUAGUUCAAGACUUCAGGUCCGUAUCAGAGAAGUACGGUCCUUUGAUCAUUUUCAAAUUUCCAUGAAAAUGCUUCCUAUCCUCCCCAAGAACUUCCUAAAACUGAGGCCUUCUCUAGAUGUUUUUUUUCCAAGAGGUAUGAACUAGAGGAAUUGUCAGCAAGCAAUACCAGUCAGCAAAACACAUGGAUUUGGUGGUGUAUAAUACUUGAUGAUGCACAAAAUCUUAAUAUUCUAAACCUUAACCAGUGUUAAAAACAGUAUUAUUCUGACUAUCUUAACUUGAUAUUUCUAACACACUGGAGUUUCUUAAGAGGAAAAAAAAAAAUCUUUACUGACUUUCUCCCUUUCUCAUCACAUACUGAACAGGGUAUUUGCUGUGAUUAGUUCAAAGUUAUUCAAGCAUUGUUUUAAACUUUAGUGGGCUAGUAAGAACCCCACUGAUGAUCUAGUAACAGAGCAGCAUUAUUAUUAUUAUAAAUGAAUACAUUAUUACUGCAUUUUUUCUUUGUCUUUAAAGGAAACACACUUUACAGAAGCAACUUCUCAUAAAGAUUGCCAAAGCUUGGCGCCCCUACCUUUCCCACUCAUUCAUCCUGUUUUGGGCCCAGCACUGAGCUCCUGUGAUUGGCUUAUAUUCUUAAAACCAGGAAGCAUGAUGCCCAGCAGAUUUCUAGCCUGUCUGAUCCUGCCCCAGUGCUUGGUAACCAAGUCCUAUGUUACUGAUUGUUGUCUAUUUUACCAUGCCUCCUGGUUCCAGACCCUGGCUACAAACUGUUUUUUUUUUUUAAAUAUUCCUAAUAAACUUUUGCUUUAAGAUGUGAAUUUACUAUAAUAAGAGGAUCUUGACAGUAAUAGUUUUAUUUUCUUAUUAAUGCAAAAGUUAAACUACUGACCACAGAGCUGCAAUAUGGACUCUUCCUAUGGCUAUGAAUGUAUAUAAGAGUAAAACACUAUCUUAUGUCUUUUAUCAUAAUAAACCCCUCUUUACCAUAUAGAAUUUAUAAUGG
rnacentral:lncRNA from 1 species